rnacentral:rRNA from 1 species
AGUGAACGCUGGCGGUAGGCCUAACACAUGCAAGUCGAACGGCAGCACAGUAAGAGCUUGCUCUUACGGGUGGCGAGUGGCGGACGGGUGAGGAAUACAUCGGAAUCUACUUUUUCGUGGGGGAUAACGUAGGGAAACUUACGCUAAUACCGCAUACGACCUACGGGUGAAAGCAGGGGAGCUUCGGACCUUGCGCGAUUGAAUGAGCCGAUGUCGGAUUAGCUAGUUGGCGGGGUAAAGGCCCACCAAGGCGACGAUCCGUAGCUGGUCUGAGAGGAUGAUCAGCCACACUGGAACUGAGACACGGUCCAGACUCCUACGGGAGGCAGCAGUGGGGAAUAUUGGACAAUGGGCGCAAUCCUGAUCCAGCCAUACCGCGUGGGUGAAGAAGGCCUUCGGGUUGUAAAGCCCUUUUGUUGGGAAAGAAAAGCAGCAGGUUAAUACCCCGCUGUUCUGACGGUACCCAAAGAAUAAGCACCGGCUAACUUCGUG